rnacentral:rRNA from 1 species
AGACCGAUAGCGAACAAGUAGAGUGAUCGAAAGAUGAAAAGCACUUUGAAAAGAGAGUUAAAAAGCACGUGAAAUUGUUGAAAGGGAAGCGCUUGCGACCAGACUCGCCUAACGGGGUUCAGCCGGUAUUCGUACCGGUGUACUUCCCCGUGGGCGGGCCAGCGUCGGUUUGGGCGGCCGGUCAAAGGCCCUCGGAAUGUAACGCCUCUCGGGGCGUCUUAUAGCCGAGGGUGCCAUGCGGCCAGCCCAGACCGAGGAACGCGCUUCGGCACGGACGCUGGCAUAUGGUCGUAAGCGACCCGUCUUGAAACAC